rnacentral:rRNA from 1 species
AAUGAACGUUGGCGGCAUGGAUUAGGCAUGCAAGUCGAGCGAGAAGGGUUUUGAAGCUUGCUUUAGAACCCGGAAAGCGGCGAAAGGGAGAGUAACGAGUAGUUAUCUACCCCAAGGCCCGGAAUAGCUGCGGGAAACUGCAGGUAAUGCCGGAUAAUAUCCCCGGAUCAAAGGUGUGAUUCCGCCUUGGGAGGAGACUGCUUUGUACUAGCUUGUUGGUAGGGUAAUGGCCUACCAAGGCUACGAUGCAUAGCGGGCGUGAGAGCGUGGCCCGUCUCACUGGGACUGAAACACUGCCCAGACACCUACGGGUGGCUGCAGUCGAGAAUCUUCGGCAAUGGGCGAAAGCCUGACCGAGCGAUGCCGCGUGCGGGAUGAAGGCCCUCGGGUUGUAAACCGCUGUCGUAGAGGAGAAAGGUCUCGUGAAGAGCGAGAUUUGAUCUAUUCUAGGAGGAAGUCGGGGCUAAGUUCGUGCCAGCAGCCGCCGUAA